GACGAACGCUGGCGGCGUGCUUAACACAUGCAAGUCGAACGAUGAAGAUGGAGCUUGCUCCGGUGGAUUAGUGGCGAACGGGUGAGUAACACGUGAGAAAUCUGCCCUUGACUCUGGGAUAACUGCGGGAAACUGUAGCUAAUACCGGGUAUUUUCCUUGGUGGGCAUCCACUGGGGAAGAAAGAAUUUCGGUCAAGGAUGAUCUCGCGGCCUAUCAGCUAGUUGGUGAGGUAAUGGCUCACCAAGGCGACGACGGGUAGCCGGCCUGAGAGGGUGACCGGCCACACUGGGACUGAGACACGGCCCAGACUCCUACGGGGGGCAGCAGUGGGGAAUAUUGCACAAUGGGCGCAAGCCUGAUGCAGCAACGCCGCGUGAGGGAUGAAGGCCUUCGGGUUGUAAACCUCUUUUAGCAGGGAAGAAGCGAAAGUGACGGUACCUGCAGAAAAAGCACCGGCUAACUACGUGCCAGCCGCCGCAGUAA
rnacentral:rRNA from 1 species